CCCAAGCCCUGCUGUACAAGAGCUGUGGCGAGCUCCCCUCCUGCCACCACCGCCCUCCUGGCACAGGCGAACCCCUCUCUUGGGAGCGUUGUGGGUGAGGUUUUGCUCUGCACCGGUGAACAAACACCAGCGUAAUACAGGAUAACCUUCUCCAUGCAGGUUUUCCCCUCAGCACCGCCAGGGCUGCAGUAAGGCAGGUGCAUUAUAUGGGGCAAUCCAGCAGCCCUGCCCCAGCACGGAGCCAUCGCUGCGCUCUGCUCCAACCUCCGCCCGCGCGACACGCUGGGGAAUUUCAAGGGAAUCACUCCCUCAAAACCAGAGCCUUUACCUGUUUGAUCUGUGCCGUGAACGAACAUUCCCUUUUCCCAGGGAAAGGGGGAGGGACCGGCGCCCACAAGGAGCCUGGGCAGGACCCGCCAGAGCUGAGGGUCCGGUGCCUCACGAGGCGGGAGCGCCGCCAUCACCGCGGCCUCAGCAGCGCCCCCAGGGCCGGCACCGCUCCUUCUCCUCCCCGCUCCUUCUCCUCUCUAAAUCCCUCCCGACGCUCCAAGGAAACAAGAGCUCAUCUUCCUCCAUAGUAUUCUCUUUUGAGUACCCCAGGUGCUUUGCUUCUUUAGGUGCGAUUUGUUGUUUCUCUUAAUUUUCUUUGGAGGUUUGGCUCUCUGAUUCAUUUGUAUGCCAUCGUUGCACACUGGCCAUAAAAAAACACUGCCAAGUGUUAUGAGGGAAAACAAAGCACAGCUGCAGACUGGGACAGACAAUAAGGAAGGUGAACCAAGCAGGACUGAGGAACAUCAGGAACUAAAGAAGCCAUUUCACAACGUGAGGUACUCCAUGAGGAAGGGGAUGUAAAAAAUCAGCCAUCUGCAGGGAACAAACAAGAGCUUGUGGCUCUAUGAUGACCCAGGGACUUGCAGUGAGGACAGAGGAUUACCAGAAGUGUCAGGUGUUAGGACUCACAUCUGCAGAAGUUCUGAUCUGUGCAGCAAGGGAGUGAGUCCUCAGAAAUCUGAAAAUUAUAAUGGUGACAAGUGCUAUAUGUAGAUUUCCUACUGCAACCAGUAGCAGUUUGCAUGCAGAAAGAUUUCAGAAGCAGGCAUCCUUUCCUUUUCCUUCCCAAGUUUUAUUAAUUUGACCAAAGACUAUGUGGCUUCAGCCUUAACAAAAAACAAUAAAAUUCUGGGAUGAUUUAG